AGUGAACGCUGGCGGUAGGCCUAACACAUGCAAGUCGAACGGCAGCACAGGAGAGCUUGCUCUCUGGGUGGCGAGUGGCGGACGGGUGAGGAAUACAUCGGAAUCUACUCUGUCGUGGGGGAUAACGUAGGGAAACUUACGCUAAUACCGCAUACGACCUACGGGUGAAAGCAGGGGAUCUUCGGACCUUGCGCGAAUGAAUGAGCCGAUGUCGGAUUAGCUAGUUGGCGGGGUAAAGGCCCACCAAGGCGACGAUCCGUAGCUGGUCUGAGAGGAUGAUCAGCCACACUGGAACUGAGACACGGUCCAGACUCCUACGGGAGGCAGCAGUGGGGAAUAUUGGACAAUGGGCGCAAGCCUGAUCCAGCCAUACCGCGUGGGUGAAGAAGGCCUUCGGGUUGUAGAGCCCUUUUGUUGGGAAAGAAAUCCAGCUGGCUAAUACCCGGUUGGGAUGACGGUACCCAAAGAAUAAGCACCGGCUAACUUCGUGCCAGCAGCCGCAGUAA
rnacentral:rRNA from 1 species